rnacentral:rRNA from 1 species
CAGUAGCCGCGGUAAUACGAAGGGUGCAAGCGUUACUCGGAAUUACUGGGCGUAAAGCGUGCGUAGGCGGUUUGUUAAGUCUGUUGUGAAAUCCCCGGGCUCAACCUGGGAAUGGCAAUGGAUACUGGCAAGCUAGAGUGUGUCAGAGGAUGGUGGAAUUCCCGGUGUAGCGGUGAAAUGCGUAGAGAUCGGGAGGAACAUCAGUGGCGAAGGCGGCCAUCUGGGACAACACUGACGCUGAGGCACGAAAGCGUGGGGAGCAAACAGGAUUAGAUACCCCGGUAGUCCCUGUCUCUUAUAC